rnacentral:rRNA from 1 species
UACGGGAGGCAGCAGUGAGGAAUAUUGGUCAAUGGGCGUGAGCCUGAACCAGCCAAGUAGCGUGCAGGAUGACGGCCCUAUGGGUUGUAAACUGCUUUUAUGCGGGGAUAAAGUCACCCACGUGUGGGUGUUUGCAGGUACCGCAUGAAUAAGGACCGGCUAAUUCCGUGCCAGCAGCCGCGGUAAU